CCGGUCAGCCUGCAGUCCCUGGCGGACGGAGGGCCAGGAGAUUGAGGCCUCCGUCGCGCCUUUCUUCAAGCCCGGUCCGUCAGCGUGAGCGGAGGUGAAGUGGCAGCUUGGCCUGGCACCCAGAACGGCCAUCGGUACCUGUGAGACGGAGGACUCGGGCUGCUGAGGUCGGCGGUGUCUUGGCCCAAGAUGACGGCGGCAGCAAUGGUUGAG